CGUCCCCUUCGUCUCCUUCUCUCCUCCACUCCCCAUCGCGCCCCUAUCAUCAGCCGCCACCGCCGUCGCCGGGAGGGGCCGCCACUCGCGUCGCUCUCCGCAGCCGCCACAGCCCCCUCCCCUUCCAAACCCACCGAGAUGACGGCGUCGGCACUGGCGCUCGCGGUGGUCGGGUGGCUUGCUCGCGCUCGCGGAGGCCGAGGUGGUCGCGCUGCUCUGGGUCGUGUGCCGCCUCCGUCGCCGGUAGGAGGGGGCCGCAGAGGCCGCCGCGCAGCCCAGUGACCAGGAGCUCCCCGGUGAGCAGCCGUUCCGCUUCGCCGUCUGCCUCGCCCUCUUUGCCGUCCUCACUCCGUCCUCUCUAUGUUUUCUGGAUUUGCCGUCGUCGCCUUCUCUGCUCCCAAGAUAGCCUCGCUCUCCUCCUUGGUGCCCAGCGGGAGAGGUAGCGGACGAAAGUCGAUGACGCCGACCCCCUCCUCCAUGGCAGCGCCUUCGUCCCCGACGACACCCAGCAGCAGCUCACUCCCGGCCCAAAACGAGGCAGCGUUCCCAAAUGUGAAGCGACAACCCGCAGAAAGAUGAGCAGGAGCAGACCAGGGAUGAAGCCAAGAUCUACGAUGGUGAUUCUUCCAAUAAAAUGAUGCAGGUGGCCAACAGCUUGAUGGUGCCGUCGAUAUGAGUAAAAUGCAUCGAUGGUCAUUGAACUUAUUGUAUACGCUCACUUUGGUCACUGUAUUUAAGAAUACUUUGGUCACUGUAUUUAAGAAUACGGUCAAUACGAUCACUAUAUACGCAUUGCGAUGAUUAUACGGUCACUGUCAUACCGUAUAGCUUCGUAUUUUAUAUAGUUGACCGGUCAAACAGUUCAAUGGCGCUGUAUCAGCUCCACCUGUCAGUGGCUAGAAGAAAUAAAGGGUACUAUUGGAAAAUAAAAGAGUGCACCGCUGCUGUGGAAUCGAACCCGAACGAUGUGCUGGUAGUGCAGCACGCUAGCCAGCCGAGCCAACUUCAGUUCGCGUUUAAUUUAUUUGCAUUCACGUGACAACCAUAACAGGGCGGCCGUUGCUUGUGCUGCGUACUUGUGUGGGUACGUGCAUGUUUGUGUGUUGUGUGGUGUUGUGCGUGACUGUGAUAUGCGUGAACAAGAUGCUUGCCAUGUGUGUGCGCCCGCUUGUGAUGUACGUACGUCUGAGUGAGCACGGACAAGGCGAAGGCGUUGAGAAAGAAGAAGUCAGAGGCAGCGAGGAGCUGCACGAGCGCGCCAAGAGGACGGCCUGUGCGCGAGUCAACGGCGAGCACAGACAUGUGGCGCCGGAUGGUGGCCGGGCCUGGACAGAGGUGAUGGUGGUCGCAGGCAUGAAGAAAAAGACGAUGGGGGAGAAGAGGAGAGUGACCAGUACUGUGUACGCCACGUCCGCGUCGCAUCGCUAGCUUGUCGUGAUGCCUGGUGUGUGAUCGAGUAGUGCAGUGCGUGCGUGCUGAGUGUGUGCACUAUAUGCAUUCUCGCUAACGUAUAUAAAAAAAUCGCUCAGCAAGUUAACCAAAAUUGUUAUGCGCUCCAUUGGCUAGCCCACUGUUGCUACCACAUUAAUGUUCUGUGUUAGAAAUCCUCAUAGACGCACAUUUUAUUUUGCCUCUUGUUUUCUUUCUUUCACCGACUGACAGAUGGGACCCGCAUAAGUAGAGAGAGAAAGUGGGCUAACAGGGCAUCAUUGGGACUGUUUGACCGGUCAACUAAAUAAAAUACAAAGCUAUACGGUGCGACAGUGACCGUAUAAUCAUCGCAAUGUAUAUAUAGUGAUCGUAUUGACUGUAUUCUUAAGUACAGUGACCAAAGUGAGCGUAUACGACAAGUUCAAUGACCACCCAUGCAUUUUACUCCGUCGAUAUUGUCUCCUCCAGCGUCAAGGAACCAGCCAAAAACGUCAUCGUCAAGCAAGCGACGCUGAGCAAAUGUCAGGUGCCAUCACGCACCAUGGUGUGGCGAUCAGAUUGGCAACGUGUUCAAUGCAGCGUACAAUGCCAAUGAUCAGUUCAUUUUUGUGGAUUGUUGUGGGGGAUUGAGGCUUUAAAGCACAUGAAUUGCAGCAGGAAUUGUUCAGGAUACUACUGUUCUUGCUACUUGGCGCGUUACCAUCACCGGGAGGAGCGACGGCCAUCCACAUCGCCAUUGCCAUCGUCCUUCAGAUCAAGUAUGUGUAGGAAGUCGCGUCUUUAGGAGGUCUGAAUAUAUUAUUUGCUGUCACUGACAGACAUAGUAUGAUCGUUUGCUCCUUGGGAGAUGGUUUACGUCUUAACUGUCUACAACAAAAACGAUAAAUAGCACCGCAUCCGGGUACUAAUGUUGGUGUGAGCUCAAGGAAAAAGGCAAAACCCAUUUGUAGUUUCAGCUUUACGAGGCGUUGUCAGCAAUGAUUGAUGAGAUAAUUGGUUGAGCUACUUUUGGAAGGGGCGACGGAAAUCAUAAAAACUACGAUGGCUAUGGAGAUUCAACAUACAGAAAGAUGGAAGAGAACACACAGUAAAUAAAACAGAACACAAAGCAGUAGCCUUUGGAGCAGGUUACAGUUUGCACUUGGUAUUAAAGGAUUUGGAGCAGGCUAUAUCUGUGAUGACACAGAUUGGUUAUGCAGGAUCUCUUGGCUAAAUCCUUCUGCUUUAUCAUGAGGACAACAAAUAGU